GAUUUCCAUCCCAAAGGGAUGUGGAGGCACAAGGAGGGCACAGCACCUCCAGGAUUCCCUUGGGGGGGAGCAGAGUGGGAUCUGCCUGUCUCUGCCUCGUGACCCUGGCACAGCCAUGCUGGAAGAAACCAGUGCCAUAAAGAUUAAUCCCUUCUGAUUGUCAUGAAUGGUGUCUCCCAGUGACAAAGUGGUAAUGGGAGUAACCUCUUCAACAAAGGCAACAUUGUCCCCUCAGCAGCUUGGCUAUCUCUUGGAGAAGAGUUCUGCACCGGGAUCAGCCUUGAUUCACCCCAGACAUUCGGAUGGAAACCCGAAG